UGCCGGGCUGUCAUUAGCCCCAGCCUCUGCCCAGCCUGGCACACUGAAGCUGGGCUGUGGGUGGUGCUGCUCGUCGGCUGAAGGUGGUUGCUUUUAUCAGCAACCUCCAUCACUGGGAUUUUCUCGUAUUCCAUGCUAUAGCUUCCUUCAGCCUUGGAUUUGCAUAACAGCCUGAGUUAGGACUAGUCUGAUCCCCAGGUGGGAGUACUACAUCUUGCCAACAAAUCCUCCAUCCCAAACUGGCACUUCACUGGGUGUAUUGGCACUGGAAACAAAACCAUGCUGGGACAAACGUUGAGUUUUCCUUAGUAAUAGGAGGUGCCUUGUAUUGUAGACCAAACUUCCUUGCAACGUGCUAGAUUGUAGCAGAAACUCCCAGUCAAGUCCCUGUUUGUUUACAAGCCUUGUUGCCACAGGAGCCAGGUGCUUUCCAUGUUCAGCCCUGGCUGCUUCAAUAAGCAGCAGGUCCAGCCUCCAGGGGCUGCCAGCAGCCACUGACUAAUAGGAGCACCUUGACCCUGGUGACGGAAGGCAGCGUCUUGCUUAUCUGUGCAACCCCUGGCAAGCAGCAGUUGCAGAACAGCAGAGGUGGCUCGCUGCAUAGCUGUGCUGAGGAAAAGGAAAAUGGGGCAUGGUCUUGUCAGACAGAGCAUCUUGCUGCUAACUAAGAAAUGCUGGUGCAAACCAAGGGCUGAAUGCUGCAUGCACAGUUUGAAGGCUGCUCAUGAAGGUGCAGCAAGCAUGGAGAAAAGAGGAAAACUGACAUAACAGAGCAUCAGCACCCAGGGCUUUGGCAGAGAAGGCUUCAGCAGAGCUCCAGCUACAUUACUGCUAUCCCCCGGCAGCUCUCAGCGCUCAGCAAAUUCACCCCACACCUCCCAGCUCCCGCCACCAACAUGUAAUGAAACCAAUUAAAAUACUUGUUAACGUAAAUAAAUAAAUAAAGGGGCUGACGAAGAUCUGGCUG
rnacentral:lncRNA from 1 species